rnacentral:tRNA from 1 species
GAGGAUGUAGCUCAGUGGUAGAGUGUGUGCUUAGCAUGCAUGAGGCCAUGGGUUCAAUCCUCAAUCCCCCCA